rnacentral:lncRNA from 1 species
UGUACACUUGUAUUGAUAGUGUAAGUGCAAUUUAUUAUUAAUUUUUAUUGAUGGCUAUACACCACAUGACAUUUCGAGCAUAAAAUACAGCUUUUAAAGUUUUUUUUAGAAUCAUAUGAAACCAACAUGAAUACAUUUCAAGAACUUGCCACAUUUUAAAGUAGAAUAUGUAAAGGUUUUUCCUUUUCUUUAGGUCAUGAAUGAGUCUGUGAAUCAGCACGCCCUUCUGUGACCAAACAAAGGAGUCUUGUAUCAUGUUCUCAUGGCUUUAAGAUCAGUAACCUAUUGAAGCUGACACACACAAUCUCUCUAUCUGCUCUUACUCUUCUGUUUUUGAGUGCGGUACAAGCACUCAGUCCACAUUUUUCCUGUGUAGUGGACCCCUCCUCAUCCCUCUGCUGCUUUUGAACAUUUCCUUGGUGUCACCCAAGUGAGAAAAAAAAAAUAAAAAAUAUCGAGACCUCUUGUUUUCAGCCAGAUUCAUGCGUUUUAUGCAUUUUUAAAUUUUUAAUUUUCCUUAGUUUCCCCCCCUUAAAUUACAUUUGUUGUCAUCUGACAUUUACAUAAAGUGAAUCUAAUUAUUUAAUAACACUGUUAAAUGUAAUCUUUAACAAAUCUCAAAAAUGAAUAUCCAGUUUUUGUAAUGUACAUUAUGAUUUGUAUGCCUAAAUUCACUAGUAGCAUUAAAACAAUUGAUUUAUAUUGUUUUCUUAUAUAUUUAGACAAAAUAGUGUACAAUUUUAAUAUUUGAAAUGUAUUGGUUAACAGACAUGGAUUUCAAUAUUGUGUUUCCUUAGUUGAUUAAAAAAUAUAUCUAGAUUGAUUUUUUCAUAAUUUCUCGGUGAUUUGAUGAUUAUCAGUGAAUAUCAACUCAAAUAUUGACUAAACUUUAUUAUGCAGCUUAAGACGACCUGUAAUAUAGUGCACAAGUUGUAUGGACUACGUUUAUGAUACUCUGUUGUAUUGUUUUAAAUUGUGGUUGCGGUAAGACAGGAUACAUUAAGGACAUAAAAAUAUCUAGUACAUGUCGAGUUAUAAUACAGUUUUUAAUCAGUGUAGCCUUUUUUUCU